UUUGCUCAUAAAUAUAUGCAUAGUACUUCCAGUCCUCAUGAAGCUGGUAGUACUAUGCAUGUCAUCUCUGAGUGAA
rnacentral:pre_miRNA from 1 species